AGGUCUUGACAUCGUACGCAUAACUCAGAGAUGAGUGAAAUCUCUUCGGAGACGUAUAGACAGGUGGUGCAUGGUUGUCGUCAGCUCGUGUCGUGAGAUGUUGGGUUAAGUCCCGCAACGAGCGCAACCCUUAUGUUUAGUUGCUACGCAAGAGCACUCUAGACAGACUGCCGUUGACAAAACGGAGGAAGGUGGGGAUGACGUCAAAUCAUCAUGCCCCUUAUGACCUGGGCCUCACACGUACUACAAUGGCUGCCAACAGAGGGAAGCAAAGCAGUGAUGCAGAGCAAAUCCCCAAAAGCAGUCUUAGUUCGGAUUGUAGGCUGCAACUCGCCUACAUGAAGUCGGAAUUGCUAGUAAUCGCAGAUCAGCAUGCUGCGGUGAAUACGUUCCCGGGCC
rnacentral:rRNA from 1 species